UACGGGAGGCAGCAGUGGGGAAUAUUGCACAAUGGGCGCAAGCCUGAUGCAGCCAUGCCGCGUGUAUGAAGAAGGCCUUCGGGUUGUAAAGUACUUUCAGCGGGGAGGAAGGCGAUGCGGUUAAUAACCGCGUCGAUUGACGUUACCCGCAGAAGAAGCACCGGCUAACUCCGUGCCAGCAGCCGCGGUAAUACGGAGGGUGCAAGCGUUAAUCGGAAUUACUGGGCGUAAAGCGCACGCAGGCGGUCUGUUAAGUCAGAUGUGAAAUCCCCCGGGCUUAACCUGGGAACUGCAUUUUGAAACUGGCAGGCUUGAGUCUUGUAGAGGGGGUAGAAUUCCAGGUGUAGCGGUGAAAUGCGUAGAGAUCUGGAGGAAUACCGGUGGCGAAGGCGGCCCCUGGGACAAAGACUGACGCUCAGGGUGCGAAAGCGUGGGGAGCAAACAGGAUUAGGAUACC
rnacentral:rRNA from 1 species